UAGACAUCAAGCACUGUGUUUUACAGAGCAUUGCGCAUGACGACCCAAUCAAUAGAAUCAGACCAGACAUGAGUGAAUGGGCUGUAUAUUCUCUGACAUCAUUAGUGUCAAAGAAAUGUAUGAAGAAGACCUCAAAGGCAGGAUUUAGGCCUACAUUGAACAACUGUUUUAAGUAGCAGUCACUGACUUUAUUUGUCUGUCUCAUUUAAAUUAGAUGAAAAGAAAGAGGUUUCCAGGAGAAAAGGAGAGCUUUCCCAUACCAAAGAUGUUGGGUUGAAGCUAAGGGAAGCUCUGAAACAGCAGCUCACCAUCAUCCACGAGAGAGUGGAGGCUAGGAAGAUAGCUAAAUUGGCUCUGGCGGAAGUGAGGAACAUCCUAGCCAAAGAGGAGGAAGAGAGGACCUUGAACCAUAUCAGGGAGGAGUCGGAAGCCAAGGCCUGGGAGAGAGCUGAGGCUCGGCUGAAAGAGGAGGGGGAGAGAAUAGAGAAGGAGGAUGUGGAAAAGGCCAUGGCAAGAAUUAGAAAGGAGAAGGAGGAAAGAGAGAAAAUGGCAGAAGUUGAAGAAGCAAAGAAGACUAAGAAGGUGGAAAAGGAUGAGGUGAAGGAAAAGCCAGAGGCUGAAAAGAAAUCUCACGAGAAACCCGUUGUUGAUGACGAUGCUAAAAAAGUUGAGAAAAAUGGAAAAGGCAAAGAAUCCAAGAAGGCUGCAGCUAAAAAGAAACCGUAAGGCAGCAAAUCAGCUACUGUUAGAUCUUUUUGUCUUUUGUGUAAUUUGUUAACAUCUGGCUGAAUUUGAUCUCAGGCCAUUGUGAGUCUCCAGAGACCACCCCUUGUAGACUGAAGGCAAGACCUUUUGUCUCUAUAUAUGAGAGAUAAUCAGUGAUGUUAAUCAGAACAUUGAGAUUAGUAGAAGCAAAAGCAGAACAAGGUGCUAUAUGCCGAUCGUCAUGUGGAAGUUCUUUUAUUUCUCUUAAAAAAUGUCUGUUUUGUUUGAGGGUAGGAUUUUGGUUUACUCUUACAAAAUACUAGCUAUAGUGUGAGAUUUCAACAUUGAUGUUCCUCUGAUUUUGUUUAUUUUAUAAUAAAUACAACAGGUAGCUAUACUUUAUUAAGAGAGAACGUUCUUGUGUUAUCAAUAAACUAUAUGAAUCCCCUGAUUUGUUUUA